rnacentral:rRNA from 1 species
CCAGCAGCCGCGGUAAUACGAAGGGGGCUAGCGUUGUUCGGAAUUACUGGGUGUAAAGGGUUCGUAGGCGGUGUGGCAAGUCGGGAGUGAAAUUUCUGGGCUUAACUCAGAAGCUGCUUCCGAAACUGCUGUGCUCGAGUGUGGGAGAGGCGCGUGGAAUUGCAGGUGUAGCGGUGAAAUGCGUAGAUAUCUGCAGGAACACCCGUGGCGAAAGCGGCGCGCUGGACCAUUACUGACGCUGAGGAACGAAAGCUAGGGGAGCAAACAGGAUUAGAUACCCUGGUAAAGGG